AUUGAACGCUGGCGGCAGGCCUAACACAUGCAAGUCGAACGGUAACAGGAAGAAGCUUGCUUCUUUGCUGUCGAGUGGCGGGCGGGUGAGUAAUGUCCGGGAAACUGCCUGAUGGAGGGGGAUAACUAGUGGAAACGGUAGCUAAUACAGCAUAACGUAGCAAAGCCAAAGAGGGGGAGCUUCGGGCCUCUUGCCAUCGGAUGUGCCCAGAUGGGAUUAGCUAGUAGGUGGGGUAACGGCUCACCCAGGCGACGAUCCGUAGCUGGUCUGAGAGGAUGACCAGCCACACUGGAACUGAGACACGGUCCAGACUCCUACGGGAGGCAGCAGUGGGGAAUAUUGCACAAUGGGCGCAAGCCUGAUGCAGCCAUGCCGCGUGUAUGAAGAAGGCCUUCGGGUUGUAAAGUACUUUCAGCGGGAAAGAAGGGAAGAAAGUUAAUACCUUGGCGCAUUGACGGUACCCGCAGAAGAAGCACCGGCUAACUCCGUG
rnacentral:rRNA from 1 species